UCGAGGGGAGUAAUUGAGCGUGCCUUCGGUGUACUUAAAAGCCGGUUUCGAUGUUUAGACACUUCCGGCGGUGCUCUUUUGUACUCACCGUCGAAGGUUUGCGGCAUGGUAAAUGCAUGUUGUAUUUUACACAACAUAUGUGUCGCAAACCGUUUGCCGGUGACUCUUCGUCGCAGUGCUGUCCGACGCGGGAACCGGUCUUCUGCUCUACCGGUGGGUAUGGACGAAGGAGAGGAUUCCCGGCGGACAUUGAUCCAAAAUUAUUUUGCAGUUGCCUAGUUUUACAUCCUGUUGAUGUAUAUCCCCAGGCCAUGUUUGUACAGUUCGUUACCCCGUUUUAUCCUGUUGUUGGGUUCCCGCAAAUAUUUGAUCCUUUUAUCCAACUCUACCAUGGGCGAACCUACUGGUGAUGUGGACCUGACCCUCUGCCAUGUAGCAGACAACCCCCCCUCAGGUCCUGCGAUGUAUCUUCCCAAGUGGCGUGGAUGUGAGGAGACACGACAUUUCACCUGAUGUUCCAUGGGUGACCCUACUGGUGAUGUGGACCUGACCCUCCGCCAUGUAGCAGACAACCCCCCUCAGGUCCUGCGAUGUAUCUUCCAAAGUGGCGUGGAUGUGAGGAGACACGACAUUUCACCUGAUGUUCCAUGGGUGACCCUACUGGUGAUGUGGACCUGACCCUCUGCCAUGUAGCAGACAACCCCCCC